UCCUCCGUGGCGCAAUUGGCUAGCGCGUUCGACUGUUAUCACACGCAGUUUAUCGAGAGGUUGGAAGUUCGAGCCUUCCCGGGGGAG